UGCGCUAGCUCCACACAUUUGCUCUAAAUUAAUAUAAUUGGAUCCAGGCUAAAGGAAGAGAGGCACCACAUUUUAGUUGGAUACUGCAUCGCAUGAAAAUGAGGAGAUAAGGAGCGUGUUUACCCUCAUUGGAUUUCUUGAUAAAUGAGUGAGAAAAAUAGCCAAGACAGUUAACCUUCUGCUUUUCAAGGAGACUUUUGAUGUUUCUUGUCAACUCACUUAACCAGAUUAACUGACUUUGAAGUCUUCAUUAUUGGUGCAGUAUGUCACAUGGAGGUGGCCCUUCAAAAUGGAGAACAGGACAUAGUCAUAUGGGGCCAGAUAUGGAAAACAAGAGUGAGCUUUCCCAAAUAUGAACAUGCCUAGAUGAUGGAUUGGUUGUGGAUGUCCAAAGACGUGGCCUCCCAGAUUGAACACCUUUCAGCUAUAAGAAAAAAAAUGCUUAAU